GCAAAACUGGCAUCAAAUGUCUACGUACUCUUUCGACUAAAAUUUACGUGUUACGACAUGUCGCAACUAACAAUUUAGUAAAAAUAAUUUGUCGAUAAGUUAUACGGCUUUUGAAAAUAAGUGAAAAUAAGCCAAAAUCAAAAUUUAUAAUAUGACCUUGACCUUUGACCUUGACCUUAUUUUCAUUUUUUUUGGACCAAGGAUCUCAAAUCAAAAGACCCUAGGUCUCUAUCACUUAUGGUUUACCAGUUAGAAAUGCAUAUUCUUAUAUCAAACAUAAAAGGGGGAUAACUCUCAUAUGGAAUCUAUAUACGGCUUCGGUCAAAAUAAAACAGAACAUCCUGAGGAUAUAACGAGCAAUUUGGAAAAAUAAAUUUGUCGGUUUCUUAUACGGUUGCGAAGCCUUAGAGAUAACAAGAAAAACAGUGUUCGGGGAGAUAACUCUUAUUUGGGAAAGUAUUCGGUUAAGCAGAGUUGGUUUCAAAAGCGUGUAAACUGUUCGAUAUCAUAUUCCAAAAAUCUAAGCGACAUCUUGCGAAACUAAAAAACAGCGAAGGAA
rnacentral:lncRNA from 1 species